rnacentral:tRNA from 1 species
CGGGGCGUGGCGCAGCCCGGUAGCGCACCUGCUUUGGGAGCAGGAUGUCGGAGGUUCAAAUCCUCUCGCCCCGACCA